AGUCAAUGAUGACUUAUCUGUAAGAGUAGUGGACAGAAGUGGUUUCUGACUAACAUCACACUGAGACU
ensembl:snoRNA small nucleolar RNA SNORD75